rnacentral:rRNA from 1 species
GGAGGGUGCAAGCGUUAUUCGGAAUUACUGGGCGUAAAGCGCACGUAGGCGGCUUCGUAAGUCAGGGGUGAAAUCCCACGGCUCAACCGUGGAACUGCCUUUGAAACUGCAAAGCUUGAAUCCUGGAGAGGGUGGCGGAAUUCCUGGUGUAGGAGUGAAAUCCGUAGAUAUCAGGAGGAACACCGGUGGCGAAGGCGGCCACCUGGACAGGCAUUGACGCUGAGGUGCGAAAGUGUGGGGAGCAAACAGGAUUAGAUACCCUGGUAGUCCACACCGUAAACGAUGGAUACUAGGUGUCGGGGACUUGAUCUUCGGUGCCGUAGCUAACGCGUUAAGUAUCCCGCCUGGGGAGUACGGUCGCAAGGCUG